rnacentral:rRNA from 1 species
UACGGAGGGGGCUAGCGUUGUUCGGAAUUACUGGGCGUAAAGCGCACGUAGGCGGCUUUGUAAGUUAGAGGUGAAAGCCCGGAGCUCAACUCCGGAAUUGCCUUUAAGACUGCAUCGCUAGAAUUGUGGAGAGGUGAGUGGAAUUCCGAGUGUAGAGGUGAAAUUCGUAGAUAUUCGGAAGAACACCAGUGGCGAAGGCGACUCACUGGACACAUAUUGACGCUGAGGCGCGAAAGCGUGGGGAGCAGACAGG